CCUAGUGUCAGUAGCGGUGCGGAACCACCUCUUCCCAUCCCGAACAGAGAAGUGAAACGCUCCAGCGCCGACGAUACUAUCCCUCUUGGGGGCGGGAAAAUAGGUCAUCGCCAGAU
rnacentral:rRNA from 1 species